CCUACGGGUGGCAGCAGUGAGGAAUAUUGGUCAAUGGACGAGAGUCUGAACCAGCCAAGUAGCGUGAAGGAUGACUGCCCUAUGGGUUGUAAACUUCUUUUAUAUGGGAAUAAAAUGUUCCACGUGUGGGAUUUUGUAUGUACCAUAUGAAUAAGGAUCGGCUAACUCCGUGCCAGCAGCCGCGGUAAUACGGAGGAUCCGAGCGUUAUCCGGAUUUAUUGGGUUUAACGGGAGCGUAGGUGGAUUGUUAAGUCAGUUGUGAAAGUUUGCGGCUCAACCGUAAAAUUGCAGUUGAAACUGGCAGUCUUGAGUACAGUAGAGGUGGGCGGAAUUCGUGGUGUAGCGGUGAAAUGCUUAGAUAUCACGAAGAACACCGGUUGCGAAGGCAGUUCACUGGACUGCAACUGACACUGAGGCUCGAAAGUGUGGGUAUCAAACAGGAUUAGAUACCCUUGUAGUC
rnacentral:rRNA from 1 species